GAUCCUGGCUCAGAACGAACGCUGGCGGCGCGUCUUAAGCAUGCAAGUCGAACGGGAUCCACGCGCUCGCGCGUGGUGAGAGUGGCGGACUGGUGAGUAACGCGUAGGUGACGUACCCUCCGGACGGGGAUAGCCCUUAGAAAUAAGGGGUAAUACCGGAUACGGUUCCGUGUGUCAGAGGCACGGAAGGAAAGGAGCUUCGGCUCCGCCGGGGGAUCGGCCUGCGUCCCAUCAGCCAGUUGGCGGGGUAACGGCCCACCAAGGCAAUGACGGGUAUCCGGCCUAAGAGGGUGAACGGACACAUUGGGACUGAGAUACGGCCCAGACUCCUACGGGAGGCAGCAGCUAAGAAUAUUCCGCAAUGGGGGAAACCCUGACGGAGCGACGCCGCGUGGACGAUGAAAGGCCGGAAGGUUGUAAAGUCCUUUAGUCUGUGAGGAAUAACGCCGGAGGGAAUGCCGGCGGAUGACUGUAGCAGAAGAAUAAGCACCGGCUAAUUACGUGCCAGCAGCUGC
rnacentral:rRNA from 1 species